rnacentral:rRNA from 1 species
AUUGAACGCUGGCGGCAUGCCUUACACAUGCAAGUCGAACGGUAACGGGCCUUCGGGUGCCGACGAGUGGCGAACGGGUGAGUAAUACAUCGGAACGUGCCCGAUCGUGGGGGAUAACGAGGCGAAAGCUUUGCUAAUACCGCAUACGAUCUACGGAUGAAAGCAGGGGACCGCAAGGCCUUGCGCGGACGGAGCGGCCGAUGGCAGAUUAGGUAGUGGGUGGGAUAAAAGCUUACCAAGCCGACGAUCUGUAGCUGGUCUGAGAGGAUGAUCAGCCACACUGGGACUGAGACACGGCCCAGACUCCUACGGGAGGCAGCAGUGGGGAAUGUUGGACAAUGGGCGCAAGCCUGAUCCAGCCAUGCCACGUGCAGGAUGAAGGCCUUCGGGUUGUAAACUGCUUUUGUACGGAACGAAAAGCCUUCUUUUAAUACAGGAGGGUCAUGACGGUACCGUAAGAAUAAGCACCGGCUAACUACGUG